GCUUCAAGAUGUCUUACAACUGGUAACUUGGCAUAUCACUUUUGGGUUUAAUAAUUCUUCUAUGCAUAAAUUAUUUUUGGGUGCUCAACCUACGGUUUACAGUUGAGAUGCAUGACACUGACAGCCCCUUUUAAGUGAAAAACUCAAAAUUAUAUUGUCUUGAUUGGAGAAGCCCACAAAGAUUGUUCAUGGAUUGAUGAUUCCAGUGAAAAGUAAAUUUGUGAUUGAUGCAAGCAACAUAAUUAUCCAUCAAUUAGCAUGAGUUCUAAAUGUUUAUGUCCAUGCAAAAUGAAAACCCUACCUUGCUUCCCGCUUGCUCUCCCACCAAAUACAAGUGGAACUUUCUUUGUUCUCUUCUGUAUUUUUUCAAAAUAUUUGCCUAUGGUCGUGAUUUUAAUUUCUUUUCUAAUUACAAAAAUGGGAAUUUUCAUAAUUGCCACACCGCACUUUCAUUUUAGUUUUACUGUAGGUGUUGAAAUUGUUCCAAUCUUGGAUGUGUUUCUAUUCCGCCUAAUUUUUCCCACUCUAAACCAUGUUAGUUUUCUGCAGACACAAAGUGCAUGCCUAAAUCUUUCCUUUUGGCUUUAGUUUGAUUCAGAACCUGAAUCUUUUUUUUUU
rnacentral:misc_RNA from 1 species